UACGGAGGAUGCAAGCGUUAUCCGGAAUGAUUGGGCGUAAAGGGUCCGCAGGUGGCAAUGUAAGUCUGCUGUCAAAGAAUGAGGCUUAACCUCAUCAAGGCAGUGGAAGCUACAUAGCUAGAGUACGGUCGGGGUAGAAGGAAUUCCUGGUGUAGCGGUGAAAUGCGUAGAGAUCAGUAAGAACACCGGUGGCGAAAGCGUUCUGCUAGACCUGUACUGACACUGAGGGACGAAAGCUAGGGGAGCGAAUGGG
rnacentral:rRNA from 1 species